UACCAGCACCCCGAGUGGUCGGGACGAUUAUUGGGCCUAAAGCAUCCGUAGCCGGUUCUACAAGUCUUCCGUUAAAUCCACCUGCUUAACAGAUGGGCUGCGGAGGAUACUAUAGAGCUAGGAGGCGGGAGAGGCAAGCGGUACUCAGUGGGUAGGGGUAAAAUCCUCUGAUCCAUUGAAGACCACCAGUGGCGAAGGCGGCUUGCCAGAACGCGCUCGACGGUGAGGGAUGAAAGCUGGGGGAGCAAACCGG
rnacentral:rRNA from 1 species